UACUUGGAUAACUGUGGCCAUUUUAGAGCUAAUACAUUGCACGAAAGCUCGGACCUUAGGGAAAGAGCGCAUUUAUUAGACCAAAACCAAUCAGGCUUCGGCUUGUGUUUUGGUGACUCUGAAUAACUAAGUGAAUCGCACAGUCUUAGUACUGGCGAUGUAUUUUUCAAAUGUCUGCCUUAUCAACUUUCGAUGGUAGGUUAUACGCCUACCAUGGUUAUAACGGGUAACGGAGAAUAAGGGUUCGACUCCGGAGAGGGAGCCUGAGAAAUGGCUACCACAUCCAAGGAAGGCAGCAGGCGCGCAAAUUACCCAAUCCCAGAACGGGGAGGUAGUGACGAAAAAUAACGAGGUAGUCCACUCUGUGGCCUGCCAUCGGAAUGGGUACAAUUUAAAACUUUUAACGAGUACCAAUUAGAGGGCAAGUCUGGUGCCAGCAGCCGCGGUAAUUCCAGCUCUAAUAGCGUAUAUUAAAGUUGUUGUGGUUAAAACGCCCGUAGUUGGAUCUUCGGUCUUGAAGCUCGGUAACUCGUAAGGGUUUAACUGAGUCUUCUGGCCUAAAUUUUAGUAUUCUCCUGAUGCUCUUUAUUGAGUGUCUUGAGUUGCUAGAACGUUUACUUUGAAAAAAUUAGAGUGCUAAAAGCAGGCUAUAUGCUUGAAUAAAGUGCAUGGAAUAAUGGAAUAGGACUUUAGUUUUAUUUUGUUGGUUUUCGAAAUUAAAGUAAUGAUUAAGAGGAACAGACGGGGGCAUUAGUAUUGUUGCGUUAGAGGUGAAAUUCUUGGAUCGCAGCAAGACUAACAACUGCGAAAGCAUUUGCCAAGAAUGUUUUCAUUAAUCAAAGGACGAUAGUUAGAGG
rnacentral:rRNA from 1 species